ensembl:scaRNA
GUGGCUGCCUUCACUGUGGGCUGCAUUUGUGAGCGAUGGAAUGCAGCCGUAAGCAGCCACAAACAGUAAAGCAAAUGGUUCCUGCCGACAGUGUCUGUAGAGCUAUCAGAUUUUUCUGUGCGAUGGUUCCAUACACU